rnacentral:rRNA from 1 species
AAGCAGAAGACGGCAUACGAGAUUUCGCGGAGUGACUGGAGUUCAGACGUGUGCUCUUCCGAUCUGUUUCCCAGUCACGAUACUACGGUCCUAAGGUAGCGAAAUUCCUUGUCGGGUAAGUUCCGACCUGCACGAAUGGUCUAAUGAGUUGUACACUGUCUCCUCCACGAGCCCGGUGAAAUUGUAGUAUCGGUGAAGAUGCCGGUUACCCGCCACGGGACGGAAAGACCCCGUGAACCUUCACUACAACUUUGCAUUGAUUUUGAGCAACAAAUGUGUAGGAUAGUUGGGAGACUAUGAAGCAGUGUCGCCAGGCAUUGUGGAGUCAUCGUUGAAAUACCAACCUUUUGUUGCUUAGAACCUAACCCUGAACAAGGGGACAUUGCAUGGUGGGUAGUUUGACUGGGGUGGUCGCCUCCUAAAAAGUAACGGAGGCUCGCAAAGGUACCCUCAGUACGGUUGGUAAUCGUACGCAGAGCGCAUUAGUAAAAGGGUGCUUGACUGUGAGACAAACACGUCGAGCAGGAGCGAAAGCUGGCUAAAGUGAUCCGGUGGUUCUGUAUGGAAGGGCCAUCGCUCAAAGGAUAAAAGGUACUCCGGGGAUAACAGGCUGAUCUUACCCAAGAGCUCAUAUCGACGGUAAGGUUUGGCACCUCGAUGUCGGUUCGUCACAUCCUGGGGCUGGAGAAGGUCCCAAGGGUUCGGCUGUUCGCCGAUUAAAGUGGCACGUGAACUGGGUUCAGAACGUCGCAAGACAGUUCGGUCCCUAUCUGUGGUGGGCGCUAGUAAAUUGAGUGGACAUGACCUUAGUACGAGAGGACCGGGUUGUACGUACCGCUGGUGUAUCUGUUAUGCCGCCAGGUGUAAUGCAGAGUAGCUAUGUACGGCAAGGAUAAACGCUGAAAGCAUCUAAGCGUGAAACCUUCCACAAGAUGAGUUUACUUUUAAGGGUCGUCGAAGACUACGACGUUGAUAGGCUAUAGGUGUAAAGUUGGUAACAACAAAGCCAAGUAGUACUAAUUGCCCUGGUAUCGUGACUGG